GAUUUGGAUAAUUCCAUAUAGUAUUCCCAGAAAUAUGUGUUACCAGGUACAAAACAUACAGGCUUGAUUGUUCAAGGAAACAUGUAUUACAUUUGGAUAACUCUACUGAGAGGCUAAAAUAACUGAUUCAUUUUUGAAGUGACCAUUGAUAGUAAACUUCAGCAGUUCUAGAAGAGGCAAUAAACAUAUCAGGGCAAUUUGACAGGCUACUGUGGUUCAAACAGAUGUUAGUGGUAGCCAAAGUUCACAAAUUAUGUCAAUGAAGCUGGAUUCCAUUAAGUCAAUCAGUAACUAAGGAAAUAGUUAAUUGAGAUACAAUCACAAGCUAGAAAAGCAGGAUAAAUUAAAGAAGUAAGAGGAAUAAUCACAUUUCUCAAUAAUCACAUGCUAUCAGACAGCAGAAUCUAAUGUCUGGAAGAUAAAGCAGGCAGAUUUCAAAAAUGGAAAAGGAGGCCAUAGGCUAGAGCAUGAGUAAUUCCAUAAAAGCGGUCAAAUGGGAAUCUUUCUGAAAAGCAAAUGAUGUCCUCAUGGUUAGCAAAAACUGAAAUGAAUGUUUUGUUUUCCUAUGACACAACUGGGUGAAAAGCAGAACUACACAUAAGUUUCAUAAUAAAACUUCACACCACAUCAUACUUGUCUGUUGUCAGGUUUUGUUACAUUCCCCCUAGCUCAACCAAGACUCCCUGGGGCUAGCAAACAGGGCAAAGUUUGAGUCAAAACCAUGCACUUCCUUUCAGCUUUAGAGAUGCACUUACAAU
rnacentral:lncRNA from 1 species